UACGUAGGGUGCAAGCGUUGUCCGGAAUUAUUGGGCGUAAAGAGCUCGUAGGUGGCCUGUCGCGUCGGCUGUGAAAACUCGGGGCUCAACUCCGAGCUUGCAGUCGAUACGGGCAGGCUAGAGUUCGGCAGGGGAGACUGGAAUUCCUGGUGUAGCGGUGAAAUGCGCAGAUAUCAGGAGGAACACCGGUGGCGAAGGCGGGUCUCUGGGCCGAAACUGACGCUGAGGAGCGAAAGCGUGGGGAGCAAACAGG
rnacentral:rRNA from 1 species